ensembl:lncRNA
AGGCUGAAGAGGGGAGCAGUGGAACCACCUGGAUAUUUGGGGAAGAGCAUUUUCAACUGACUGAGAGAUUAGCAAGUGCAAAAGCACUGAAUGCCUGGUGUGUCUGAAAAACAGCGCCUUCCGGCUGCUGGGUUGAGAAGGUUCUGAAGGAACGAAGCGGCAGAAGCAAGGAAGCUAGUCAGGAGGCUGCUGUGAUAAUCUGGGUCACCCAGUCUGUGGGAAGACCUGCAAGGCAAGAAACUGAGGAUGGCUUCUGGCCAAAAGCCAGCUUGAACUGGGGCCCUCAGUCCCACAGCCCAAAAGGAGCAGAAUCCUUCCGACAACCACCCAAGUGAGCUUGGAGGCGCAUCCUUCCCCAGCUGAGCCUUCAGUUUGUGUAUUUCCUGGCCUGCUGUCAGGCCUGAUUUAUCUGAGGCACCCUCAGACCAGUUCCCAUUUCAGGAGGACCCGAGGGCAGGAUGAAGGGUGGGGAGGUCAGAGCCCUUGAACAGGGACCCUGGACCGCUCAGCACAAGGCACAGACUUCACAGCGCAGCAAAACUCUGCUUGUUUCUUCAGAAGUCAUUACGAAAGGUCUUUUUGGCAUUUUUGCUUCCUUUCUGGAGCUUUGGCCCACGCAGCGACCUCAGUGUCUCCUGACCAUGGAGUCACGUGCCUUUCUCUACUGUGGAGUUUGAGCUUUAUAAAGCCCCAGCUCUUUGGCAAUAGAGAGCGCGUGGGCCUGACAUCAGCAGUGGGGCGAAGUCUUUCUUCGGCUUUCCAUCCAUGUCCACAUGAUACCAAUGACUUCUGGUGGACUCCUGAUUUGACCCUCCGAUAGAGGAAGCUGCACUACGCAGAUUCUCCUGAGACAGGCCCUUAAAUGCUGAGCACAGCACUAGGUAGGCCUUCAGAGUUUACAAAGCUUCCCCAAAUACACUCCCAUUAGAGCCCCACAGCCACCCUGGAGGCAGGCAUCUCAAGUCCAUUUCACAGAGGAGAAGAUCUGUGUUCAGUGGGAGAAUGGGGAAAAGUAUGGUUCGAGGACAUAACCAGCAUGUGUUAAGUCUCCUCCUGGGACCAGCACUGUGUUGGAUGCUUUAUACACAUUUGAUCCUUUAAGGGAACUUGUGAGGCAAGUUGUAUUUUCAUGCUAUUUUUCUUUAAAGAUAGGAUAACUGUGAUGGACUGCAUGUUUGUGUCCCCCACCAAUUGACAUGUUGAAACCCUAACCCCCAAUGGGAUGGUAUUUGGAGGUGGGGCCUUUGAGAGGUGAUUAGGUUUAUAUGAGGUUACAAGUGGAGCCCCCACGAUGGGAUCAGUGUCCUCAUAAGAAGAGGAAGAGAUCAAGAGCUCUCUCUCCACCAUGUGAGGACAUAGCAGGAAGGCCGCUGUCUACAAGCCAGGAAGAGGCCUCUCACCAGACACUGGAUCUGCUGGCACCUUGACCUUGGACUUCCAGCCUCCAGAACUGUGAGAAAUAGAUGUUUGCUGCUUAAGCUGCCCAGUUGACGGUAUUCUUGUUAUAGUGGUGCAAACACACAACAACUAGGCUCAAAGAGGAAAGUGACACAGCAAUAAGUGGAAGAGCAGGAACUGAAACUCAGCUCUCUGUCUUGUGUUUAGUGCUUUUUCCCAUCACUACCUCCAUUAGCUAUCUUUUGCUGAACAACAGAUCACCCCAAAACAGUAGUUUAAAACAAUGACGAUAAUUUACGAUCUCACAGUUUCUAUGGAUUAGAAAUUUGGGAGCAGUUGGAGCUGGGCUAUUCUGGCUCAGAGUCUUUCAUGGAAUCCCAGGCAGGAUGUCAGCCAGGGCCUGCUGUCAUCGGAAGACUUGAUGGCAGACUCACAUGACUGACAAAGUGGUGCUGGCUGUUGGCAGAAGGCCUCAGUUUCUCUCCCCCAGGGCUGCUUGAGUGUCCUCACAACAUGGCGGCUGGCUUCCCCAAGUGAAUGAUCCAUGAGAGAGCAAGACAGAAGCCACAACGUCUUUUACGACUUUGCCUCAGAAGCCAAAUGGUCAUUUCUGCAAUAUCCCCUUGGUUGUAAUUAUACUUCAUAAUUUUUUUGAUGCUCUGAUGCAGUUUUAAAGAUUUUAUUUUUAUUUUUCCUUUUUCUCCCCAAAGUCCCCUGGUACAUAGUUGCAUAUUUUUAAUUGUAGGUCCUUCUAGUUGUGGCAUGUGGGAUGCUGCCUCAGCAUGGCCUGAUGAGCGGUGCCAUGUCCAUGCCCAGGAUCCGAACCGGCAAAACCCUGGGCCGCUGAAGCGGAUUGCGCGAACUUAACCACUUGGCCAUGGGGCUCACCCCUCUGAUGCAGUUUUAAACAACUAUUUUGAAGUAUAAUUGAUUUAUGGUCAACUACACAUAUAUGCAGUGUACAAUUUGGUGGGCUUUGACAUAUGCCUACAUCAAUGAAACGAUCACCAUAAUGAAGAUAACGAAUACUUCCAUCACCCCCAAAAGUUUCCUUAUGCCCCUUAGUAAACUACCCCUACUUCUACUCCUGCCCCCAGGCAACCACUGAUAUGCUAUCUGUUACUAAGUAUUAGUUUUCAUUUUCAAGAAUUUUUUUUUUUAGUGAGGAAGAUUGGCCCAGAGCUAACAUCUGUUGCCAAUCUUCCUCUUUUUGCUUGAGGAAGAUUGGCCCUGAGCUAACAUCUGUGCCGAUCUUCCUCUAUUUUGUAUGUGGGAUGCCACCACAGCAUGACUUGAUGAGCAGUGUGUAGAUCUGCUCCUGGGAUCUGAACCCACGAACCUUGGGCCGCCGAAGUGGAGCACACAAACUUAACCACUAUGCCACUGAGCUGGCCCCCCAUUUAAUUAAAUGGAACCACGCAGUACAUUCUCUUUUACAUCUGGCUUCUUUCUUUCAAUGUAAUGAUUUUGACAACCAUCCACGUUGUUAUGUAUAUCAAUAGUGCGUUCCUUUUUAAAUAUUAAAAAAUUUUAAUAGCUUUAUUAAGGUAUAAUUGACUUAUAAUAAAUUGCCUGUAUUUAACAUGUAUGCAUUGAUAAGUUUUGACCCACGAAUAUACACCAUGAAACCAUCACAUUAACCAAGAUAAUGAAAAUGUCCAUCACCUCCAAAAGUUUUCUUAUGCCCCUUCAUAAUCCCUCCCUCCUGCUUUUCUCUCUAUCCCCAACCCAGGAAACCACCGAUCUUGCUCUCACAAUGAAUUUGAUUGCAUUUUCUAGAAUUUUAUACAAAUAGAAUCAUACAGUAUUUCUUAUUUGGAGAUUCAUCUAUGGAGGUGCAUAUGUCAACAGUUCACUCUUUUUUAUUGCUGAGUACUAUUCCAUUGAAUAGAUAGGUCAUGAUUUGUUUACCUGUCCCUGUCAAUGGAGGUUUGGGUUGUUUCCACUUCUUGGCUGUUGUAAAGAAAGCUGCUACGAACAUUCAAAUGCAAGUCUUCGUGUGAACAGAUAUUUUAAUUUCUCUUGGGUACAUACCUAAAAGUGGAAUGGCUAGGUCAUACGUAAGUGUGCUGAACUUUUUAAGAAACCGUGAAGCUGUUUUGAAGUGCUGGUACCAUUUUACAUUCCCACCAGCAGUGUGUGAGAGCUCCCGUUGUUCCCCAUCCCUACCAACACUUGGUGUGGGCGGUCUUUCAGUGCAGUCAUUCCAGUGGGGCUGUGUGGUAUCUCAUCGUGGUUUUAAUGUGCCUUUCCCUGACAACUAAUGUGCUUAUUAGCCAUUCAUAUAUUGCCUUUUGUGAAGUAUUUAUUCACACCUUUUGCCCAUUUUUGAAACUAAACUGUUUAUCUUCUUCUGAGUGAAUAAAAGCAAAGUACAGAGAGUGUUAUAAACAUGUAAGUUAUUUAUACAGGAAGAGUGGGCCCUGUCUGGUUUCCCUCCUGGCCUCUAUAGCUCCCUGCCCACAUUGUGACCAGAAAUCUGUUGCUGGUGGAGGGGAAUUGUAAGGACCUGGGCAAAUGCAGCAAAGAGGGUCACACGGCAGAGGAGGCGGGGUAGAUAUGAGGUUGGCAGGUAUCUUAUGGCAUCAUAACCUCAUAUGACUGGGAAGGUCAUUGAGUCUGGGCACCUCUUACCACUUCUUUUUUGGUGAGGAAGAUUGGCCCCGACCUAGCAUCUGUUGCCCAUCUUCCUCUUUUUCCUUGAGGAGGUUUGUCACUGAGCUAACAUCUGUCCCAAUCUUCCUCUAUUUUGUGUGUGGGAUGCCACCACAGCAUGGUUUGACGAGCAGUGUGUAGGUCUGCGCCCAGGAUCUGAACUGGUGAACCCGGGCCGCCAAAGCAGAGUGAGCGAACUUAACCACUGUGCCACCGGGCUGACCCCACUUUCCACCUUUUGAUCCCAGCUCCCUUAUGGCUCCUGGUUGAAAAUCCUUCAAACUAUGGAUAUAUAAAUUACCAGGAAAUUUGGCUGCAAAGUGUAAACACUGUAGAUGAAUCCCAUCUCCAAACUGAUGCCCAAGUAAGGCAGAAGUAGCGGGGGGUGUGGGUUGGGUGGUCUUUGCUCUGCCCCCUGAGAGUGGUUUUGCACAUCACCGGGCACUUUACCAACAGUGACGAUUAGGAUGAGGAUUCUAACUAUUCUUUACACUGAUCGAGCAUGAAACAGUUUUAACAGCAUGCCCUUGCCUAUUCUACUUCUUCCGUCUGAGAUGGGCUUGGCAUCGGUCAGUGAGCC